CACCAGCAAUGAAUGAAUGUUCCUGUUUCUUCACAACCUCUCCAACACUGCCUUUGAACCUUCUUUCUCCCUCCUGUGGCAUCUACACCACACCUGGCACAUGGCAGCUGCACACCGGACUUGUGUGAAUGAGUGAACAUCACAGCACCAGAUUCACCGAGCCCCAACUCUUCCAUCUCUCAGCGUCCCUUGCGUCUGCCCCCUCCUCUGCUCUGCCUGUCGAUGUCACCUCCCUUCAGACGACUCCAGAGCCUCUUAACACCCUCUGGUUUGAGCUCUCUUCCAUCCUCUUCCUCCCCUUACACAGCCAGUGAUCUGCCUGAAGUCUCACUCAACCUCCCAGAGUCAUCAAGGGGCUCCUCAGCCUCCAGGGGAAAAACAAGCCCUUUACCUUGGCAUUCAAGGCUUGUCUAGUGUGCCCCCACAGUGUGUAUCCUCGUCUAGCGCCUACUGCUCCCUGGAGCCCCUCCUUCAGAGCUCCGCGCCAUGCAGGCCACUCUGCACCUUUGCCUUUUCGGUCACCCUCCUUUCAUGCCCCAUAUAUGCACAUUCAUACGUGAAAACCCCUACCUGUUCUCUCUUCCUGUCCCAGUCUUCCCCAGGCUCAAAUACCCCCAGGAACCUCUGGCUGUCAGAGCCCCAGAUCUGGGACCUAGCUUUCCAACUGGAUUGUAAGCUUUCUGAGGACAGCGAGGUCCUAUAUCCUCCCAGCUGGGACGUUCAGAAAGUCCCUUCCCUCCCCAGCAGCGGGUGAAUGGCUGCCAUGGAAGCACAGAACGGCUGAGCCGGGAGGCCUCGGAUCACCAGCCUGACUCUGUGCAUCUGUGCAGUCAAAGGUCCUCAAAGAAUUGCCCAAAGCCGUCCAUGGUGCUUCAGGGCCAGGCCUGGGCCCCACUCUCCCCACACCCCAAGCAAACAUCUGACCUGCCUCUUCGCCCAGCCCUUGGGGCCCAGCUGUCAGCCUGGGAGGUUCCACUGCUUAUUCAUUUCUCAGGGGAUGUUGGGAAGAAAUCAGCAAGAGACCGUUACUAGGAAACGGGCAGUUUUCCCAACUGCUUAGGACAAAGAGAAGAGCUAUGAGUGGGGUUUGGCAGCCCCAGGCACCCCAUGCACUUCAGAGCCCUCAGAUCCAGAUGUGCCAGGGGUUUUCCAGACGGCCCAGUUUUCCUGCUAGAAGAGACAGAAAUAGAGAAGGCCAAACCAGCAGGAACUCACUGGGGACUCUGUCCCUGUUUUGCUGGUUCAGCACUCUGACGUCCCCCAAUUCCCCAGAUGUGUUUUGAAGCCAUUCGGUGUGGAAGCAUCUUCUUGGGCACCUGGUGUGGGGGGAGACCAUGGUGGGCUGAGGAAGACGCCAAGCCAAAGCCCCUUCAGGGUCUGAACAGACUAUUGGCACCUUGAUUAGGUCAAAACAUAUAAAGCUGCCAAUUUCUGAGUUUCUGAUCUAAAAAUGGCAUUUUCAAAAGGGGCCAACCUAAUACAAGUUAGAAUACAACCCAGAGGAAACCUCAAAAGUGCCUUUAGUUCAAAGCAAAUAACCUACAGCUCUGGCUGGGCUCAGCACUGUGCUGCGGAAAUCCCGAGAGAAGGGACGUUAAUUCUACCGGGUUGGCCCAGAGCUGACUCCCGGCAGGGUGCGAGGUGGGUCCACUUGGCCCCACAGCUCUGCCCACCCGAGACCCAGACCUGCUCCCGACCCACAGCCACGGGGCAGAGGGACAGCAGCAUCUCCUGUUGGGCCAGGCCCAGUUGUUACAACUGCUGCCUCGUGAUCCCCUCGCAGCAUCCUAGGAAGCAGAGCUCUACACCCAGCAAAACUGAGAGACUAACAUGCCCAAGGCCACCGCGCUGGUGGUGCCCGUGGGGCCCGAGCCCACGGUCCUCUGGCCAUAAUGUUCAGGGUAAACGUAGGUGGUGGCCAGGCGGCACCUGGGGGCUCUGGCUGGCCCGGUCACUCUGGGGGACUUGGUUCUGUCUUCAACUGGCCUUCACUGGACUCAGGGAUGAGGCCUUAUUCCCGGAAAGGGACUGGUCUUGACAGUUUGGGAUUCACGUAGCAGAGACAGAGCCAGACUAUAAAGGACGUUAUAAAAAAUGAGUUUUUAUCCAGUGCCCACUCUGUGCCAGCCAAUCUGGGUCCACAAGUAAUUGUGUGACCUUGGGCUAGCCAUUUGUUCCUUCUCAGAGUGUCACCUGUAAAAUGGCCCUAGCUCUGACGCUGUGAGGCUCAAAAUGAGCUAGAGGUUAUAAACUCGCCUUAAAAAGCAAUGAUGUGUUAUAUACAUUGUAUUGUUUGUAUGGUGUGUGAAUACAUCUCAAUAAAAUUGCAUUUAAAACAACAA